UACGUAGGGGGCAAGCGUUGUCCGGAUUUAUUGGGCGUAAAGAGCGUGUAGGCGGCCAAGCAGGUCAGCUGUGAAAACUCGAGGCUCAACCUCGAGACGUCGGUUGAAACCGCUUGGCUAGAGUCCGGAAGAGGAGAGUGGAAUUCCCGGUGUAGCGGUGAAAUGCGCAGAUAUCGGGAAGAACACCAAUGGCGAAGGCAGCUCGCUGGGACGGUACUGACGCUGAGGCGCGAAAGCGUGGGGAGCAAACAGG
rnacentral:rRNA from 1 species